GACGAACGCUGGCGGCGUGCCUAACACAUGCAAGUCGAACGGAAAACAUAGCAAUAUGUUUUUAGUGGCGAACGGGUGAGUAACGCGUAGACAACCAACCUUUUUGUGGGGGACAACACUUCGAAAGGAGUGCUAAUACCGCAUACGCUCCAGAUGCCGCCUGGUGUUUGGAGGAAAGGCGCUGUAAGGCUUCGCAAAAAGACGGGUCUCGGUCUGAUUAGCUAGUUGGAGGGGUAACGGCCCACCAAGGCGACGAUCAGUAGCCGGUCUGAGAGGAUGGACGGCCACACUGGGAAUGAGACACGGCCCAGACUCCUACGGGAGGCAGCAGUGGGGAAUCUUCCGCAAUGGACGAAAGUCUGACGGAGCGACGCCGCGUGAGUGAUGAAGGCCCUUGGGUCGUAAAGCUCUGUCAUCAGGGACGAACGGUCACGUCAGGAAAUGGGCGUGAAUUGACGGUACCUGAGAAGGAAGCCACGGCUAACUACGUGCCAGCAGCCGCAGUA
rnacentral:rRNA from 1 species